rnacentral:rRNA from 1 species
UACGGAGGGGGCUAGCGUUGUUCGGAAUUACUGGGCGUAAAGCGCGCGUAGGCGGACCUGCAAGUCGGGGGUGAAAGCCCGAGGCUCAACCUCGGAACUGCCUUCGAUACUGCGGGUCUCGAGUCCGGGAGAGGUGAGUGGAAUUCCUAGUGUAGAGGUGAAAUUCGUAGAUAUUAGGAAGAACACCAGUGGCGAAGGCGGCGAUCUGGGUCGAUACUGACGCUGAGGUGCGAAGGCGUGGGGAGCAAACAGG